rfam:Canis lupus familiaris chromosome 11, whole genome shotgun sequence.
AUCGCUUCUCGGCCUUUUGGCUAAGAUCAAGUGUAGUAUAUGUUCUUAUCAGUUUAAAAAGGCCUGUGGAGUGUAGAGGGAGAGGCUUGGUGUAAGUGGCUCAAGGCCUCCACUGUGCACUGUGUGCUCACUGACGUCCGUCUGUGCUGCUGGAAGGGGUGAAAAUGACCCCGACCCACUCUCU